rnacentral:pre_miRNA from 1 species
CACCCAGCUCCUGUCUCCCGGCAGGCAGAUUGGGGGCAUGCACCGCUGGGAGGACUCCGGCAGUCCCAGGGGUGUUGGUGGGCCCCCGAUCUGCCUGCCGGCUGACAGGAGCUGGAUG